rnacentral:rRNA from 1 species
UACGUAGGGUGCAAGCGUUAAUCGGAAUUAGGGCGUAAAGCGUGCGCAGGCGGUUGGGCAAGACAGAUGUGAAAUCCCCGGGCUCAACCUGGGAACUGCGUCCGAUACUGGAUGGCUUGAAUCCGGGAGAGGGAUGCAGAAUUCCAGGUGUAGCGGUGAAAUGCGUAGAUAUCUGGAGGAAUACCGGUGGCGAAGGCGGCAUCCUGGACCGGCAUUGACGCUGAGGAGCGAAAGCCAGGGGAGCAAACGGG